rnacentral:lncRNA from 1 species
UAUAAUCCACUUGGAAAUAUAAAUAACUACAAACUAAGGAGUAUUCAGAAUGAAGAUUGAGCAAAUACAGGUAUAAUUUGUAUGGCACUGAGCAAACAAGAGCAUAAAUAAGAGAGUAAGAAACCAUAUAAAAAAUGGGGGUACUAACUUUUUUUAUAUGACACGAAGCACACAAGGCUUGUGCGAAGCAAAAUGAAACACCGGUUGAAGCAGGGAAAUGCAUGUACCCUUUUACAAAUGGAAAAUUAAAGCAGCAAUUUCAGAAAAAUAGUGCACUCUUCGACAACUAAACAGGUAGGAUCCUCUAGCUUGAAUCAAAUUAGUAGUUUUCUACACAGUAGUUUAGCAAUCGGAGCUACUGCUCCUUUUGUUGGGUAUACCACGAGACAACAGUUGUACACAAAACUAUACAUUUUAUCAUUUAUACACUAACAGGAGUAAUUAGGAAGUAUGCUAAUCAGGUUUACGGCUAGCUGGGCGCCGCUGGCCAUAUGACCGUGAGAAUUCGUUGGAGAUUAACAAGCACACCGCGAGUGAUGUUGCCUCCAUCGACCACCAGAAGCCACUGAACUGAUUCUUCCAUUCUAGAGGCCGUCGGCCACAAGUCUAUAGAAACAACCACAGAGCACACAAAUAUUCUUCCGUUCACAGAAUUAACGUCGGCAAACGAUAUUGAGACCCGUCUCCUGAAAGGGAUCAUAUAUUCAUAUGCCACUCUUCAGAUCUGGAAGCAAAGUAAGAGGAUUAUGAUCAAUGGAUAGGAAGAUGUUACAGAUCUAGCCACGGAAUCAGCAUGCAUAGAAAGUUCAAGAACAAAUCGCGUUGACCUCUGAUUCCAAUCAACAUCGUGUUGUGCUCUCUGAUCCAUCGGCCAGCGGCAGAUAGAAUUUGGAUCGCUUGUAGAAAACUAGGAAUAUCAAGGAUUAAACUAGUGGCAUGAGGUGGUAGAUGCAUGUGAAGGAAACAAUCAGCUCAUUGCUGCCAGAUAGAUCAGUAAAUUAACAAUCAGCUCACCUCCCAAUAGGGUGUGCUUCGAUGGCCACAAGAUGAGCUGCACGCUCCUCUAUCUUGCGGAUUAAAUCCAGCGAAGAUCAUAAGUGAUUGAAUCCGCCGGUGAUCGCCGAUGUCCGCCGAGUCGGCCUGGCUAGAUAUUAGUGGGUAACGAAAAUCCCUACCGCCACCGAAGUUGUUUGAGUCAGGGAGAUAGUCAGUAUCUAAUUAUUUAAUCUAAACAGGCACAAGUUUGUUGCCCGCUAGGAUGUGUGUGCGUGCAAUUGAAGGUGAGAGUAUAUAUUUAGUGCGG